ACAAGCGGUGGAGCAUGUGGUUUAAUUUGAAGCAACGCGAAGAACCUUACCAGGUCUUGACAUCCUUUGACAACCCUAGAGAUAGGGCUUUUCCUUUGGGAGCAGAGUGACAGGUGGUGCAUGGUUGUUGUCAGCUCGUGUCGUGAGAUGUUGGGUUAAGUCCCGCAACGAGCGCAACCCUUGAUUUUAGUUGCCAUCAUUUAGUUGGGCCCUUUAAGGUGACUGCCGGUGACAAACCGGAGGAAGGUGGGGAUGACGUCAAAUCAUCAUGCCCCUUAUGACCUGGGCUACACACGUGCUACAAUGGACGGUACAAAGAGCUGCAAGACCGCGAGGUGGAGCUAAUCUCAUAAAACCGUUCU
rnacentral:rRNA from 1 species